rnacentral:rRNA from 1 species
GACGAACGCUGGCGGCGUGCUUAACACAUGCAAGUCGAACGGAAAGGCCCUGCUUUUGUGGGGUGCUCGAGUGGCGAACGGGUGAGUAACACGUGAGUAACCUGCCCUUGACUUUGGGAUAACUUCAGGAAACUGGGGCUAAUACCGGAUAGGAGCUCCUGCUGCAUGGUGGGGGUUGGAAAGUUUCGGCGGUUGGGGAUGGACUCGCGGCUUAUCAGCUUGUUGGUGGGGUAGUGGCUUACCAAGGCUUUGACGGGUAGCCGGCCUGAGAGGGUGACCGGCCACAUUGGGACUGAGAUACGGCCCAGACUCCUACGGGAGGCAGCAGUGGGGAAUAUUGAACAAUGGGCGGAAGCCUGAUGCAGCAACGCCGCGUGCGGGAUGACGGCCUUCGGGUUGUAAACCGCUUUCGCCUGUGACGAAGCGUGAGUGACGGUAAGGGGUAAAGAAGCACCGGCUAACUACGUGC